rnacentral:lncRNA from 10 species
GUUCCUCUCGACGUCCAGCCACUUCUGUGCCUGCCUGCCUGUCUUGGGGUUUUUACAGGCACAGGAUAGGGGACGUGGCAGGCCAGGUGGUCUUGGAAAAUGCAAACUUGGGCAUGAAAACAGGAGCGCUUGUCCUCCCCUAUAUGCGUGUGCACAGGACCUGAGGUGAAGCCCUAGCCAGGGACCUGCCCUUCUCUACCCAGCGCUUUCCUUCUCUCAUCCCGAGUCAGUACUGAAGUCACUCUGCUGCCCCUGACUUCAAGAUAGUUGAGAAGUGAGAUCCAAUCCUGUGUCCAGAAGUGAACAUUUGAAAACAGUGUUGCUGCCGAUUUCAGGCUGGGUCAUUGGCCUUAUCCCGCACCGAAGUUGAAACUUACACCAUCUGUUCACAUCAUCAGUUCUUCUGGUUCUCAUGCUUUUGAACUUCAACUGGCACAAUUCCACUGGCUCUCCUUAGUCUCCAGGUUGCAGAUGGCAGAUUAUAAAUCUCCUUAGCCUCCACCUUUAUAAUCCUAACUAUUACUGACACCUCUUUGAGGACAAAGGAAGUAGCUUUCUGCAAGCCAAAAAGACCUCAGAAAAACAACAAAUCUUCCAAACUCUUGAUUUUGACUUUUUGCCUCCAGAAUUGUGAAGAAA